rnacentral:rRNA from 1 species
UACGAAGGGGGCGAGCGUUGUUCGGAAUCACUGGGCGUAAAGGGCGCGUAGGCGGCCCUCCUAGUCGCGUGUGAAAGCCCCGGGCUCAACCUGGGAACCGCGCUUGAGACUGGAGAACUAGAGUUCGGGAGAGGAUGGUGGAAUUCCCAGUGUAGAGGUGAAAUUCGUAGAUAUUGGGAAGAACACCGAUGGCGAAGGCAGCCAUCUGGACCGACACUGACGCUGAGGCGCGAAAGCUAGGGGAGCAAACGGG